rnacentral:SRP_RNA from 2 species
GCCGAGCUUAGUUCGGAGAGCUUGUAACCCGAGUGGGGGCAUUAAGGUGAUGUGGACGCUGUUCUAGUGCUGCGGGCCUGGUCUAGGAGUGCUACUGCUGGCCCGCACGGUCCAUAAUUGGCAGGCACAGCAUGAGGCUGGCUUCACAGAGCAGCGACAACUGCCCACUUCCAACGGUGGAAGGAUAACGGGCCGCUGCACUCCUUGGCCACUUGGGCCUCGCAUCCUUCUCCAGCGAACCAUCACUUUU